AGGUUUUUAGUGGAAGAAGCAGUUUAUUAACAAGAGGUUUACAUCUACAUCAGUUUGUAAAGAUGAGAUAUAAUAAUCUUUACAAAUUGAUCUAGAUGUAAACCAAAUAAAGACGUCAGCAACGAAUUUUACAGUUCAUAAAACUGUUAAAUAUAACGAUGUAAAGUUGCGACCUAAUACACAUAUUACGAUGCAAAUAGAAGAUUCGAAUUAUUACACGAUUGUAAAUAUCAAUAUGCACAAAAGUAAUAUAAAUGUUACACAUAAUUCUAAUAAUGAUAUUCAGGAAAGACCUCAACAUAAUGAUACUAAUGUAUCUCAAACUAAGAAGGCAUAUCAACUAAAUACAACAAACACUAAAGGAUGUUCUUAAAAUCCUUUAAUGUUUGUUGUAUUUAGUUGAUAUGCCUUCAACGUCGCAGGUAUAAUAAUAUUACUAAUGAUAGUCCUGAUUAUUCUCUCGAGAAAGAAUUCUACAACAUCUAAUUCCUCUGCUCAAAGUUAUCAUAGUCGUAAUUGUCAAAAUGAUUUAAAUAAAGCUAGUAUUAACAAAGAAUGAUAGCAGUAAUAUAAGAGACACAAUUUACAAUAACGAUAAGAAUUUUCUUCAAAGAAAUAGGUUCCAGAAUAACAAAGACUCUUUGUUAUAACAGAUAAAAUAUCAAUAAACUAGAAUCGGAGUCUUGCAGCAAUACCUCAGUAAACGAUUAUUUAGCUUUUUAUAAAAAUACACAUUUGUCAAAAACAAAAUUUACAACUGUGGAAGUAAUACCGCUAAAUAAUGAUGAAUAUUGGAUAUAUAAGUUAGAAGUUGCAGAUGCAUGUAACGAUUUAAUGAUAAAGUUACAAGAGGUCGUAAAAACGUCACGUAAUAUGCAGCCAGUUAUCGAUGAAGUUUGUGGCGUGAUGUAUAACACUAUUUGGCGAAGAACUAGAAUAACAUCUUGAAUCCUACUAAGGUUCAUUUUAUUAAUUUUGGUAAUGAUGAGAUAAUAAAAAAAGAUAUUCAUCUCAAAGAUAUAAAAGAUCUGAUUAAAGUGCCUAAAUUUGCUAGAAAAAUUCGCUUGGUGCGAAUCACAAGAAAGCUGCGAGAAGACGAAAAGAUUUCUAUUAAAAAGUUGUUUGUAGAUUUUGAAAACACGACAAUAGUAGAAGUAAAACAAGGACAAUUGGAAAAUUUAUCUUCAUAUAUAACAAAAAAGUAUUUUAAAUAUUAGUUAAAUAAUACUUUUUGUUGUACAUGAAGAUAAAUUUUCUGCAGCAAAAAAGUUGUCGCAAAAAGUUUCUGAAACAUCAUCAGAUAAAAGUAUAAAAACUAAGAUUCAAAUACCUAACAUCUUAGAUGAUAUUACUAAUUCGAUGAAACAAAAAAAGAUUUCUAAGAUGCAAAUUGCUGGUUUGAUACAAAUCAACGAAUCAACGAAUCAACGCAAAAAAACAUUUACAGUGUAACUUUAUGUCCAACUUUAUAUCCAAUAUCAAGAUAAGAUUCAGAUGGUUUUCGAAGACUUGGAGGAAGAAUGCAAAAAAGUACAAACAUCUGUACAUUACAAGUAUGUAUAUUAGUUUUAUCUAUGUAUGCGCAUGUGUAUGUGUUGUGUAUACUUAUAUAUAUAUUUUAUGCUGAUGUAUUUUGAUAUAACAAAAUGUUUGUAAAUUACUGGUUUUUAUUAUUAAUUUUUUGAUAUUUUCUACUUUAAUACUGUUAUAUGUGAAGAUAAUAAUUAGAGGAAUUAGAUUAUAUGUAGUAAAAAAUUAUAGUUUUAUUUUAAAAAUGACAAUGAUUUUUCUAUAAUCAUGACAAAUUGUUUUCUUUUUUUUCGAAAAUUAAUUUUAUUUAAAAAAUUUUUAUUUUUUCUUUAGAUAAUAUAUCUUUUAAUUAAUCUUUCACAUACACUUAUUUUUUCAAUCUUUGUAUACACACUGGGUAGUUACCACCCACGGCAAUUUUCAAACGGCUGUAUAUCAUAAACAUAUUUAUUCUAAAAUUCUGAAAAAAUUCAUGGAUUAACUUUAAUGUUUAUAGAAAGUUAUUUACAUAUUUUUGGUAUUAAAAUUUAAGAAAUUUUAUGUUUAAAAAACUAUAUUUCGCGAUUUAAAAAAAUUGGUUUUUGCAGUUUUUUUCCAUUUAUUAUUUGAAAGGUAUACAGAGCGCUGAAUUUUUAUUUUUAGGUGAUAACCACCCAGUGUGUAUGCAAAGUGUUAAAAUACAACUUUGAUUUCAAACAUAUCUCUAUCUUUUGCACAUUUUUGAAAUUUUUGAAAUAUUUACUAGCAACAGUUAAAAUAUUGAACAUCUUGUGUAUACACACACACACACAAUUUUACACAUAAAUUUUUAUAUGUUAUAUAGAAUAUCUUUCAUUGAGCAUAGAAUAAUUAAUUUAUUUUUAGACCAAAAGCAGACGACUUAGUUUGCUUUAAUUAUUAUACUCGGCUAAUUGUAUUGAUCUUAAAUUUAUUUUUGAAAGCACGCGUUUAUGUACUGGCAUAUCUUUCUUACCUUUCUAAGGUUUUUGGUCGAGGUUUAAUAUAUAAAAAUAUCUAGUUAAAGUUAAGAAUUAUUAAUUUUCAUAAAAACUGAAGAUCGAACCGACCGCGAACGUAGCCGAGUGCGCGACGGCUCACGCCGAUCGCAGCCGAGCGCAUAUGCCUCACGGAUAGACGGAGUGCGAUGUGUGCGUGAGCGUGUCCGGGCUUGAAGCUUGAAAUCGCAUCACAGAUCACAUGAUCACAGCACUAUCUGUCUCUUUUCCGUUACUCGGCGACAGUCUGUGUUUGUAUUGCUGUACAAGAGGCGAUGCGCUUGUGCAGUCCAGUUACCAGUAGUAUGUUUAUGAUCUAAGCCAAGGUAAGGGAAUUGUUCGGACUCAUUCAGACUGGCUUUCACUGUCGUUGCGUAGUCGAAUUUUUUCAAUAAUCUUCCCAAUUACUUAAUUUGGAAAGUUUAAAUACCGAAAAAAAAAAUAGAUAUUGUGAUGAAAAAUUCAUGAUGUUUCAUAUAUAAGCAUUAAAGGGAAAGAAAACAGCUUGAAGGGAUAUAACCUAAAAACGUAAGGCAGAUAUAUGGACCAUUUCAAAAUUGCUGUCAGUACUGAAAAUCUAUAGUGUACAUAAUGGUAACAAUAGGAGCUUUCCAGCAAGUGACACAAAUUGACACAGUAUUUCUGUUUUUGUUUGAUAUUCAGUGAGAGACAAGGACAAAAUUACUGCUGUGUCAAUUACACUGUCUCUUGCUGGAAAGCGCCCAAUAUAUAGUAUGCUUUCCAGUAAGACACAAUGUAACAUAGUGUCCAUUAGUGUGAGAAAGAACAUAUCAGUGUGUUUCACUUACACUAGUGGACACUGUGUUACACUGUGUCUUGCUGGAAAGCACACAUAGAUUUUCAGUAUUGACAGCAAUUUUGAAACACAGCCUUAGUUUGGGGGGGUUCUAAUAAGAAGAAACAUUUUAUAUAGGAAAAU